rnacentral:lncRNA from 1 species
CUCUGUCCAUGAGGAAUUCAUAACCUAAAGCGCAGAUCACACACUGAUUUAUGGACAGCUCCCUGAGCUGCUGUGGAAGCCAAAUGCUCUUUUUCUAAGAUGUCCUUGGGGCUGGUGGUCACUCAGUCUCAGCUUCAACGUCACCUUCGUGGUAAGUCCUUCG